rnacentral:rRNA from 1 species
AUUGAACGCUGGCGGCAGGCCUAACACAUGCAAGUCGAGCGGAUGACGGGAGCUUGCUCCUUGAUUCAGCGGCGGACGGGUGAGUAAUGCCUAGGAAUCUGCCUGGUAGUGGGGGACAACGUUUCGAAAGGAACGCUAAUACCGCAUACGUCCUCCGGGAGAAAGCAGGGGACCUGCGGGCCUUGCGCUAUCAGAUGAGCCUAGGUCGGAUUAGCUAGUAGGUGAGGAAAUGGCUACCCUAGGCGACGAUCCGUAACUGGUCUGAGAGGAUGAUCAGUCACACUGGAACUGAGACACGGUCCAGACUCCUACGGGAGGCAGCAGUGGGGAAUAUUGGACAAUGGGCGAAAGCCUGAUCCAGCCAUGCCGCGUGUGUGAAGAAGGUCUUCGGAUUGUAAAGCACUUUAAGUUGGGAGGAAGGGCAGUAAGCUAAUACCUUGCUGUUUUGACGUUACCGACAGAAUAAGCACCGGCUAACUCUGUGCCAGCCGCCGCAGUAAAAC